rnacentral:rRNA from 1 species
AAUCAACGCUGGCGGCGCGCUUAACACAUGCAAGUCGCACGAGAAAGGGAGCAAUCCUGAGUAAAGUGGCGUACGGGUGAGGAACACGUGGGAAUCUACCCCUUGGCGGGGAAUAACCCUGGGAAAACGGGGCUAAUACUGCAUAAGCACGUGAGAGGAAAGCAGCAAUGCACCGAGAGAGGAGCCCGCCGCCGGGGAGCGAGUUGGUGGGGUAAUGGCUCACCAAGGCGGAGAUCGGUAGCCGGCCUGGGAGGGCACACGGCCACACUGGGACUGAAACCCGGGCCCGACUCCUGCGGGAGGCAGCAGUGGGGAAUCAUGCACAAUGGGGGAGACCCUGAUGCAGCGGGGCCGCGUGGGCGAUGUAGCGCUUCGGAGUGUAAAGCGCUUUCGACAGGACCGAUAUUGCCGGUACCUGGAGAAGAGGCUGCGGCUACCUACGU